rnacentral:rRNA from 1 species
UACAGAGGCCUCGAGCGUUAAUCGGAGUCACUGGGCUUAAAGGGUGCGUAGGCGGGUCCGCAAGUGCCUUGUGAAAUCCCACGGCUCAACCGUGGAAUGGCUCGGCAGACUGCGGGUCUUGAGGUCGGUAGGGGUCGCUGGAACUCUAGGUGGAGCGGUAAAAUGCGUAGAUAUCUAGAGGAACGCCAAAGGUGAAGACAAGCGACUGGGCCGAUUCUGACGCUGAGGCACGAAAGCGUGGGGAGCGAACGGG